rnacentral:rRNA from 1 species
CAUUACACAAAUAUGNAGCCGGACUGGGAUAGGGCCUCGCUGCCUUGCCCGUCUGGCGCCAUAUUCACCCAUGUCUUUUUGCGUACUACUUGUUUCCUUGGCGGGUCCGCCCGCCAAUUGGACCUUAUUCAAACCUUUUUUUCAGUUGCAAUCAGCGUCAGCAAAACAAAUGUAAUCAAUUACAACUUUCAACAACGGAUCUCUUGGUUCUGGCAUCGAUGAAGAACGCAGCGAAAUGCGAUAAGUAGUGUGAAUUGCAGAAUUCAGUGAAUCAUCGAAUCUUUGAACGCACAUUGCGCCCUUUGGUAUUCCAAAGGGCAUGCCUGUUCGAGCGUCAUUUGUACCCUCAAGCUUUGCUUGGUGUUGGGCGUCUUGUCUCUCUCCCGAGACUCGCCUUAAAAUCAUUGGCAGCCGGCCUACUGGUUUCGGAGCGCAGCACAUUAUUUGCGCUCUUGUCCAGCCGCGGUCGCGCGUCCAUGAAGCUUCUUUCAACCUUUUGACCUCGGAUCAGGUAAGGAUACCCG